rnacentral:pre_miRNA from 1 species
UUAGUACUUCCUCCGUACAACAAAAUAUGUCUCAAGUUUGUUAAAAUUAUAUCUAGACAUGACUUAUUGUAUAAAUGCAUUUAAAUUUGGUCAAAGUUGAGACAUUUUUUGUUGGACGGAGGAAGCAGUAC